rnacentral:rRNA from 1 species
GACAGAGGUGCCGAGCGUUAGGCGGAAUCAGCUAGGGCUUAAAGCGUGUGUAGGCGGGUCGUUAAGUGUCUUGUAGAAAUCCCCCGGCUCAACCGGGGAAAUGGCUGGGCAUACGUGGCGAUCUUUGAGCAGUCGUAGGGGCAGAUGGAACAAGUGGUGGAGCGGUGAAAUGCGUAGAUAUCACUUGGGAAACGCCCAACGGUGAAAGACGAGUCUGGCUGGGGACUUGCUGACGCUGAGACACGAAAGCCAGGGAGGCGAACGGG